UACGGAGGGGGCUAGCGUUGUUCGGAAUUACUGGGCGUAAAGCGCACGUAGGCGGAUCAGUCAGUUAGAGGUGAAAGCCCAGGGCUCAACUCUGGAACUGCCUUUAAUACUGCUGGUCUGGAGUCCGAGAGAGGUGAGUGGAAUUCCGAGUGUAGAGGUGAAAUUCGUAGAUAUUCGGAGGAACACCAGUGGCGAAGGCGGCUCACUGGCUCGGUACUGACGCUGAGGUGCGAAAGCGUGGGGAGCAAACAGG
rnacentral:rRNA from 1 species